UCACAUGUUUAGUGUAAAUUGUCACAUGACCAGAGCUGUUUACUUCCUGGUUGCACCAUGAGAAGAGGAUGGCUGCAUCAAAGCUCCCAAACAAAAGUUUCACUUUGAGUCAAGUUCGGGAUAUGUUGGAUCUAGGUGACUGCCCAGACAAGGCAUGCAACAUUGCCGUUAUCCCUCAAAAUGAGAAAGAUGCUGUCCUGAGUGAUUGUGAUAGCGAUGGGUCAGAUAUGGACUAUGGACAGGCCAUUUGCCAGCCAGGCUGUUGAAUGCAUAUGCUGAACCUAUGCAAACAGAUCAUGACAGGAACAACGUUAUCAGUGAUGAUGCCCUACCCCCCACGUCCUCCAUUGUUGAUAAUAAAGAGCCAAGGGCCUCUACCCGCCAGAGGGUCCAGUCAGAAGAGCCAAGGGCCUCUACAAGCCAUAGGAGUCAGUCAGAAGAGCCAAGGGAAAAGCUGCAGGUGGCCAAAAAUAAAGAUUGAGUGUUCAAACGAUCGAAGAGGCCUGCCACCGCUGUGAUUCCAAAACACAUAGUAUACAGCCCAAAUAUGCAAAAGUUUGGCACGAAACCACUGAGCCACGGAAGGAGGUCUUUACUGGCUGCUACUGUUGAAGAUCAGGCAAGAUAUGACAAAGCUUCUCACUGGGCAAUCAACACGAUGUACCGAUUCCAGAGAAGUCGUCAUUGUGACAAACGUACUACCUAUGCAUGUGAGAAAUGCAAAGCGCCACUGCACAUUGAGUGCUUCAAGAUAUACCAUGGACAGUAGAAAAUAAGAGCGAAUGGAAUAAGGGCUGAAAAAGACAAUAAAAGAAAAAUAGAAAAGUCGAUAAAGGGUGAGGAGAAGCAGUACAACGGACUCUAGGAAGAAAGGAAAAGUCUUUCAAAAUGACUGAAAUGUUUUUGGAAAAGAAGGUCAAUUGAUUCAAGACAUACUGUAUGACAGUAGGUCUGACUCAUCACAGUUUAAAAUAGUUAUGCACAAACUAAUCUUGCACUUGGUUCUGAAGCCUACCUCUAUGAUAUAUAUAUAUAAAUAUAUAUAUAUAAAAGCACUCAUUGUGCAGUGGCGCUUUUUAUUUAAAUAAUUGUAUUUUGUUCAGUGUAGGCCUCUACUUGAAUGCAUAUUCUACAGGCUACCUCUAUUCUAAAUGUUACCUUUAUGUUCAGUGUCUCUACUUGAAUACAUAAUCUACAGGCUACCUCUAUUCUAAAUGUUACCUUUAUGUUCAGUGUCUCUACUUGAAUACAUAUUCUACAGGCUACCUCUAUUCUAAACGUUACCUUUAUGUUCAGUGUCUCUACUUGAAUGCAUAUUCUACAGGCUACCUCUAUUCUAAAUGUUACCUUUAUGUUCAGUGUCUCUACUUGAAUGCAUAUUCUACAGGCUACCUCUAUUCUAAAUGUUACCUUUAUGUUCAGUGUCUCUACUUGAAUACAUAUUCUACAGGCUACCUCUAUUCUAAACGUUACCUUUAUGUUCAGUGUAGGCCUCUACUUGAAUACAUAUUCUACAGGCUACCUCUAUUCUAAAUGUUACCUUUAUGUUCAGUGUCGGCCUCUACUUGAAUGCAUAUUCUACAGGCUACCUCUAUUGUUACAGUUGUUACUGAAUGUUGCACUAAAAUGUCACAUUGAAAAUGUUACAAUGAAUAUUGCAAUAAAGUACAAGUUCAAAAGUUACAAUAAAGUUACAAUAUUAAUGUUUCAAUACAUGUUGCGCUAAAGUAACAGUGUUACAAUGUAUGUUACAAUAAAUUAACAAUGUUGAAAUAC